GAUCCUGGCUCAGGACGAACGCUGGCGGCGCGCCUAACACAUGCAAGUCGAACGAGAGAGAGGAAGCUUGCUUCCUCAAUCGAGUGGCGAACGGGUGAGUAACGCGUGAGGAACCUGCCUCAAAGAGGGGGACAACAGUUGGAAACGACUGCUAAUACCGCAUAAGCCCACAGGUCGGCAUCGACCAGAGGGAAAAGGAGCAAUCCGCUUUGAGAUGGCCUCGCGUCCGAUUAGCUAGUUGG
rnacentral:rRNA from 1 species